rnacentral:rRNA from 1 species
AUACGUAGGGGGCGAGCGUUGUCCGGAAUGAUUGGGCGUAAAGGGCGCGCAGGCGGCUGUGUAAGUCAGUAGUGGAAGUCCAGCUUUCAAGGUUGGAAGUGCUAUUGAAACUGUACAGCUUGAGUGCAGGAGAGGUUAUCGGAAUUCCCGGUGUAGCGGUGAAAUGCGUAGAGAUCGGGAGGAACACCAGUGGCGAAGGCGGGUAACUGGACUGCAACUGACGCUGAGGCGCGAAAGUGUGGGGAGCAAACAGGAUUAGAUACCCUGGUAGUCCACACGGUAAACGAUGAAUGCUAGGUGUAGGGGGUAUCGACCCCUUCUGUGCCGGAGUCAACACAAUAAGCAUUCCGCCUGGGGAGUACGGUCGCAAGAUUAAA